rnacentral:siRNA from 1 species
AGUGUCCUAUGUGUCAACUUACAU